rnacentral:rRNA from 1 species
AUGCACAUGGAGGCUUGUGCGGGCCAAGCUAGCAGCGCGCACAUCGUCCUGGUGCACGGCGCAUGCCUCGGCGGCUGGUCCUGGUUCAAGGUGGCGACGCGGCUCAGGUCGGCCGGGCACCGCGUCAGCACGCCUGACCUCGCGGCGUCCGGCGUCGACCCCAGGCCGCUGCGCGAGGUGCCGACGUUCCGCGACUACACCAAGCCGCUGCUGGACCUCCUGGAGUCCCUCCCGUCCGGCGAGAAGGUGGUGCUCGUCGGCCACAGCCUCGGCGGCGUGAACGUCGCCCUCGCCUGCGAGCUGUUUCCGGAGAAGAUCGCCGCUGCGGUGUUCGUCGCCGCCUUCAUGCCGGACCACAGGUCGCCGCCGUCGUACGUCCUUGAAAAGUUUUCCUCUAAAAAGUUCGUGGAGGGGAGAACGCUGGACUGGAUGGACACGGAGUUUAAGCCUCAAGAUCCUGAGGGGAAGCUGCCUACUUCCAUGCUGUUCGGGCCGCUGGUCACUCGUGCAAAGUUCUUCCAGUUGUGUUCGCCGGAGGACCUCACGCUGGGACGAUCCCUGAUGAGGGUCAACUCCAUGUUCGUGGACGACCUGAGGCUGCAGCCGCCGCACACCGAGGCCCGCUACGGGUCGGUGCGCAAGGCGUACGUCGUCUUCAAGGACGACCACGCCAUCGUCGAGCAGUUCCAGCGGUGGAUGGUGCACAACUACCCCGUGGACGAGGUGAUGGAAAUCGAUGGCGCGGACCACAUGGCGUUGCUCUCGACGCCGACCGAGCUGGCGCGCUGCCUCGCUGACAUCGCCGUCAAGUAUGCUGCUUGA